AUGCAUGUCUAAGUAUAAGCAACUAUACGGUGAAACUGCGAAUGGCUCAUUAAAUCAGUUAUCGUUUAUUUGAUAGUACCUUACUACAUGGAUAACCGUGGUAAUUCUAGAGCUAAUACAUGCUAAAAACCUCGACUUCGGAAGGGGUGUAUUUAUUAGAUAAAAAACCAAUGCCCUUCGGGGCUCCUUGGUGAAUCAUAAUAACUUAACGAAUCGCAUGGCCUUGCGCCGGCGAUGGUUCAUUCAAAUUUCUGCCCUAUCAACUUUCGAUGGUAGGAUAGUGGCCUACCAUGGUAUCAACGGGUAACGGGGAAUUAGGGUUCGACUCCGGAGAGGGAGCCUGAGAAACGGCUACCACAUCCAAGGAAGGCAGCAGGCGCGCAAAUUACCCAAUCCCGACACGGGGAGGUAGUGACAAUAA
rnacentral:rRNA from 1 species